GCUAAGAAUAUUCCGCAAUGGACGAAAGUCUGACGGAGCGACGCCGCGUGGAUGAAGAAGGCCGAAAGGUUGUAAAAUUCUUUUGUCGGGGAAGAAUAACCAUGGGAGGGAAUGCCCGUGGGAUGACAUGAACCGGCGAAUAAGCCCCGGCUAACUACGUGCCAGCAGCCGCGGUAACACGUAGGGGGCGAGCGUUGGUCGGAAUUACUGGGCGUAAAGGGCAUGUAGGCGGUUUUGUAAGACUGGCGUGAAAGGCUGCAGCUUAACUGUAGCAUGGCGCUGGUAACUACAAGACUUGAGUCACGGAGAGGGAGCUAGAAUUCCAGGUGUAGGGGUGAAAUCUGUAGAUAUCUGGAAGAAUACCAGUGGCGAAGGCGAGCUUCUGGCCGAUGACUGACGCUGAGGUGCGAAAGCGUGGGUAGCAAACAGGAUUAGAAACCCGGGUAGUCC
rnacentral:rRNA from 1 species